rnacentral:rRNA from 1 species
GAUGAACGCUGGCGGCGUGCCUAAUACAUGCAAGUCGAGCGAACGGACGAGCAUCUUCCUUCUCUGAUGUUAGCGGCGGACGGGUGAGUAACACGUAGAUAACCUACCUAUAUGACUGGGAUAACUUCGGGAAACCGGAGCUCAUACCGGAUAAUAUUUUCAACCGCAUGGAUCAAAAGUGAAAGACGGUCUUGCUGUCACUUAUAGAUGGAUCCGCGCUGCAUUAGCUAGUUGGUAAGGUAACGGCUUACCAAGGCAACGAUGCAUAGCCGACCUGAGAGGGUGAUCGGCCACACUGGAACUGAGACACGGUCCAGACUCCUACGGGAGACAGCAGUAGGGAAUCUUCGGCAAUGGGCGAAAGCCUGACGGAGCAACGCCGCGUGAGUGAUGAAGGUCUUCGGAUCGUAAAACUCUGUUAUUAGGGAAGAACAUAUGUGUAAGUAACUGUGCACAUCUUGACGGUACCUAAUCAGAAAGCCACGGCUAACUACGUG